UUUUAGGUGGAUCCUAGCCCUAGCCUUCAAGGUUCUGGUAUCGUUGCGCUGAAACGACCCCUCCUAGCUGUGACCUGUCUCUGAAGCACAUAUCUAUAAGAAUGAUAAAAAGUUGUUUUACACUCUUAAUUUCUAUAAAGUAACCAUAGCAACCAGAACAGGGAAUAAUAUGAAAAGGGGAAGGAGAGCACCGACUUUGAAUCUACGCCUCCUGUGUUCCUUUAGAGAUGUGGCAGGCCAACCAUCUUGGACCUUAUCCCUCCAACGCCUUUACUCUUUUGGUUUGAUUCACUCCAUUUGUUCGAUACUCAUUUGUGAAAUGCCUCCUAUGUCUUGGUGUAUUGGUAGAAAACAGUACAUCUCUCAACCUAUGGGCAUCAUUCCUUGAAGCAUAUGCUCUCUUGACUCACUCUAGUUCCAGCGUGGUGCUAAAACGGACUGUGUUUCUCCCCUGAGUCAAACUGAGCACCCAAAGAACUAACUGAGAGACACCCUGCAACGUUUUAGAACAGAAAAUAUGGGACGCAAGUCAUAUUUCACAUCAAACUGCCUUUUAUCAGCUGUGAUUCCUGAAAUACGUUACUUAACCUCACUUGGUCUCAGGGUCUCCACAGAUAAACCAGGAGUGAUAACUUUUUCUCAUGAAGAUGAAGGGAGAAUUAGAUGAGAGCAUCUGUGCAAUGGGUAUAAUUUGGUUCCUAGCGUAUGUCAAGCACUCAGCACCUGCUCGGGAUGAUGACGGCCGUCCUUCUUCAUGUGCAACUUCCCCUGGGCCCUCAAGGUCUUUCUUCUCACCUGCUUUGCUGCAUGAGAGGCCUCACCCAAAGUGAAGAAAUCGGAAGGCAAUGAGAGGCUAAGGAUCUCACAGCUUAGUUGGUCUAAGAAUCUCUCAGGAGUUCUAAAAUACUCUAGGAUGCUUGAAGAUUACAUUUUGGUAAGUUUGGCAGGGGUUCUAGAGUCUGAAUGGUUCACAAGCACCCAGGGGUUUUCCAUGGAAGGGCAGGGGCACACAAUGCUCGGAUAAACACUGCCACUAAGAAAGAACACAAGAUUACCCUAAACCCCAUUUGAAGCUGGAGAUGUGGAAUCAUGGCAUUGAUGGCCGGCAGCAAAAAUGUGAAGGUUUCCUUAAAACUGAGGAUUGAG